UAGGGAAUCUUCGGCAAUGGACGGAAGUCUUACCGAGCAACGCCGCGUGAGUGAAGAAGGUUUUCGGAUCGUAAAGCUCUGUUGUUAGAGAAGAACGUUGGUAGGAGUGGAAAAUCUACCAAGUGACGGUAACUAACCAGAAAGGGACGGCUAACUACGUGCCAGCAGCCGCGGUAAUACGUAGGUCCCGAGCGUUGUCCGGAUUUAUUGGGCGUAAAGCGAGCGCAGGCGGUUCUUUAAGUCUGAAGUUAAAGGCAGUGGCUUAACCAUUGUACGCUUUGGAAACUGGAGGACUUGAGUGCAGAAGGGGGGAGUGGAAUUCCAUGUGUAGCGGUGAAAUGCGUAGAUAUAUGGAGGAACACCGGUGGCGAAAGCGGCUCUCUGGUCUGUAACUGACGCUGAGGCUCGAAAGAGUGGGGAGCAAACAGG
rnacentral:rRNA from 1 species